CGNUCCGGGCUGACUUGAGGGAGNUAGGGGAGAAUGGAAUUCCUGGUGGAGCGGUGGAAUGCGCAGAUAUCAGGAGGAACACCGGUGGCGAAGGCGGUUCUCUGGACCUUUCCUGACGCUGAGAAGCGAAAGCGUGGGGAGCGAACAGGCUUAGAUACCCUGGUAGUCCACGCUGUAAACGGUGGGUACUAGGUGUGGGGGACAUUCCACGUUCUCCGUGCCGUAGCUAACGCAUUAAGUACCCCGCCUGGGGAGUACGGCCGCAAGGCUAAAACUCAAAGGAAUUGACGGGGCCCCGCACAAGCGGCGGAGCAUGCGGAUUAAUUCGAUGCAACGCGAAGAACCUUACCUGGGUUUGACAUAUGCCGGAAGCGUUCAGAGAUGGGCGUGCCUUUUUGGUCGGUUUACAGGUGGUGCAUGGCUGUCGUCAGCUCGUGUCGUGAGAUGUUGGGUUAAGUCCCGCAACGAGCGCAACCCUCGUCCAAUGUUGCCAGCGGGUUAUGCCGGGGACUCAUUGGAGACCGCCGGGGUCAACUCGGAGGAAGGUGGGGAUGACGUCAAGUCAUCAUGCCCCUUAUGUCCAGGGCUUCACGCAUGCUACAAUGGCCGGUACAGUGAGCUGCGAGCCUGUGAGGGUGAGCGAAUCUCUAAAAGCCGGUCUCAGUUCGGAUUGGGGUCUGCAACUCGACCCCAUGAAGUCGGAGUCGCUAGUAAUCGCAGAUCAGCAACGCUGCGGUGAAUACGUUCCCGGGGCUUGUACACACCGCCCGUCAAGUCAUGAAAGUCGGUAACACCCGAAGCCGGUGGCCUAACCCGUUUGGGAGGGAGCUGUCGAAGGUGG
rnacentral:rRNA from 1 species